ACAAAACACACAACAAGAUUGGAAAAGCAAGAAAAAGGCUUUCUAACCCGCCAUGGAAAUCAUCAAGAGGAACCUAACGAGGGCUGCAUGCUUGGCGGUUCUUGUGGCCAUGGCAACAAUCUUAUUGUCCACUUCAACUGCACAAGCAGAUCAGUGCAUGCUGGCGCCGGAAUGCUCGGGUCCCUACCCAGAGGUGGUAUGCCCCGAGCUAUGCGCUCGUUAUGGCUUCAACAAAGAUGGAUACUGCAAAGAAUCACAAUACUGCUGUUGUCGCGGUGCCAAAUUAGCCCAUCCAGUCCUCGUGAAUCCUAGUGUAAAACCAUAGGAGGGAAACUCUAGAUGCUGAUGCGCCACAGUAUGUACCCGCGAGGAGAUGAAAUUUGAUAUAAAUAAGUUUUUAUCAGUU